UACGUAGGGUGCAAGCGUUAAUCGGAAUUACUGGGCGUAAAGCGUGCGCAGGCGGCUUUGCAAGACAGAUGUGAAAUCCCCGGGCUCAACCUGGGAACUGCAUUUGUGACUGCACAGCUGGAGUGCGGCAGAGGGGGAUGGAAUUCCGCGUGUAGCAGUGAAAUGCGUAGAUAUGCGGAGGAACACCGAUGGCGAAGGCAAUCCCCUGGGCCUGCACUGGCGCUCAUGCACGAAAGCGUGGGGAGCAAACAGG
rnacentral:rRNA from 1 species